rnacentral:piRNA from 1 species
UGUCUGUUGAUUGGGAUGCAGCUAGGGUGU